GCCUAAAUCCGCCAUGACGGUCUCCUUUCCCAAAGGAAGGGAGCUAAGAGGGAAUGCGGUGCGGGAAUGUUCCCAACUCCGCAGCUGUCCCCGCAACUGUAAGCGGCGAGCCUGUGCCGGACGCCACUGGGUGAAAACCCGGGAAGGCGGCAUCAGGGCCACAACCCGCAAGCCAGGAGACCUGCCGUCUGCGUGAAAUGAGC
rnacentral:ncRNA from 1 species